UAUUGGUCAAUGGGGGAAACCCUGAACCAGCGACGCCGCGUGAGGGAAGACGGUCUUCGGAUUGUAAACCUCUGUCUUUGGGGAAGAAAUCAGACGGUACCCAAAGAGGAAGCUCCGGCUAACUACGUGCCAGCAGCCGCGGUAAUACGUAGGGAGCGAGCGUUGUCCGGAAUUACUGGGUGUAAAGGGAGCGUAGGCGGGCUUGUAAGUUGAAUGUCUAAUCCACCGGCUCAACCGGUGAUCGCGUUCAAAACUGCAGGUCUUGAGUGAAGUAGAGGCAGGCGGAAUUCCUAGUGUAGCGGUGAAAUGCGUAGAUAUUAGGAGGAACACCAGUGGCGAAGGCGGCCUGCUGGGCUUUAACUGACGCUGAGGCUCGAAAGCGUGGGGAGCAAACAGG
rnacentral:rRNA from 1 species